rnacentral:rRNA from 1 species
UAAACGACUCUCGGCAACGGAUAUCUCGGCUCACGCAUCGAUGAAGAACGUAGCAAAAUGCGAUACUUGGUGUGAAUUGCAGAAUCCCGUGAACCAUCGAGUUUUUGUACGCAAGUUGCGCCCGAAGCCUUUUGGCUGAGGGCACGUCUGCCUGGGCGUCACAC